GAUGAAGAACGCAGCGAAAUGCGAUAAGUAAUGUGAAUUGCAGAAUUCAGUGAAUCAUCGAAUCUUUGAACGCACCUUGCGCCCUUUGGCCAUUCCGAAGGGCAUGCCUGUUUGAGUAUCAUGAACACCUCAACUCUUCAUGGUUUUCCAUGAUGAGCUUGGACUAUGGGGGUCUUGCUGGCCUGUGGGUCGGCUCCUCUCAAAUGAAUCAGCUUGCCGGUUUUUGGUGGGCAUCACAGGUGUGAUAACUAUCUACGCUUGUGGUUUUCCACCAGGGUAACCUUCAGCAGUGGAGGUUCACUGGAGCUUACAAAUGUCUCUCCUCUGUGAGGACAGCCCUUUGAAUGUUUGAUCUCAAAUCAGGUAGGACUACCCGCUGAACUUAAGCAUAUCAAUAAGCGGAGGA
rnacentral:misc_RNA from 1 species